GCAGCGGUGAUUUAGUGGUAGAAUUCCCAUCUUCCAUGUGGGAAACCUGGGCUUGAUUCUCAGUCAAUGCA
rnacentral:tRNA from 1 species